rnacentral:ncRNA from 2 species
GAUCACGAGUCCCAACGCAAAGCUCUGGCUGGUUGGGCGGCAACCCUCUCCCGUAGCGGGGUGCCCCAGAUGAGGAUCCGGCCGGCACAUACGGUGCCCGGCAAGUACGGCCC